AGCGCUGUUUGAAUUUUAUUGUUGCUACGCAGUGGCUGUCACGGAUUCGUGUGCUUAAAUAAGCAUUCGAUGUACUAUAGGGAGAGUUAUAACCGAAAGUACUCUCGUUUGUCGUUACAAUUGUGCCUGCUUGAAAGGUUACAUGUCCAGUGCAAGCACUGCUUGUCGUUCGAACAUAUGAGCUGAGCGAAAAGCCGACGUUGGAUUCUGUGUUUCUUGGUCCGAAGUUUACCGAUGAAAGCUCAACUUCUCUUCGUGACCACGUCUCUUUUAGUCUUCGGCCAAGUACUUCGAGCUGCCAGCAAGGAUGACCCGAAACAACGGUUUCCCGUGCAAAUGCAUAUCAAUAAAACCAUAGUGCUGGCAAACUUAACGUUGGCAUUUAGGCACUGGUUAAUAUGGCACUACACGUUUAUCUUUACAAAUGGCUUGCUCUCUGUACGUAACAGCGGAAAUCUAAGUGGGAACUGCGAGCUAAAAGUGGGAGAGAAAAUGUCCGUAAUUUUUUGUCCCUUCGACCUUUCGAGAAGCGUUGCAACGUACCUCGUCAUAAAGAAGAACAGCUUGAGACGGAAGGAGCAAUACUUCAACAUCACUCACAACAUCGAGAAGGGAACUUUUGAUGUGUAUGUGUGGUUCAAAUCGCCUAUUGGUCGGGCGAAUUUAGAAGCACAUACUUGCAUUUGCAGUCUCAUUCUGAGGUCGGUGAGUUUGUACAUCGACCCGCCAUCUACCUCGAUGUUCGGCAAAGUUGCAACAAAGUUUAGUGACUACGCCAUAACAAAUAUUCAAAAGGAAAUUGAAAGAGAGUUCAAGAACUUCUGCGCGAGGGCUGCUACAAAGAUCGAGGAAGAGUUUCGAAACCGACGACACACUAACGUUCGUGUGUAACAUCCUCCAUCGGUAUAUCGUGGAGGCAGGCAUAUCGUCCGGCAUUGCAAGGCUACGAAAAUAAACGCUGCUCGGUCCGUGACGUGCGCAUGAGCAUGGCGUGGCUGGCAGAAAGGUUCCUGGCAGCUAA